rnacentral:lncRNA from 1 species
CAUCUUCCUCCUCUUAUGGUCACUUGGGUUUUCAUCAAUAUUGUUGUCAUCAAAAGCUAAGGACGACUUCUGUCGCCGGCCACCGUCUUCCGGCUCGCCUGAGUUAGAGAGAGAAGUUGUUGUCACCAGGAGAGAGUCUUGCUGGAAAAUUGGGUGGUUGUGUUGGAAGGGAAUAGAAGAGAAUUGGAAUAGCUCAUCAUUUUGGACAUAUGGAAACAAUGAAGACGCAAAAUCCAUACUAAAAGGCUCAAAAAUGACACUCCUUUGGCUUCUCUCUCUUCUAUCUUCAAUAGGAGAG